rnacentral:rRNA from 1 species
CAGUCGAACGCGUCUUGGUUAUUGAUGUUGGAUGCUUGCAUUUAACUGAUUUAACAUUGAGACGAGUGGCGAACUGGUGAGUAACACGUGGGUAACCUGCCCUUGAAGUAGGGGAUAACACUUGGAAACAGGUGCUAAUACCGUAUAACAACCAAAACCACCUGGUUUUGGUUUAAAAGAUGGCUUCGGCUAUCACUUUAGGAUGGACCCGCGGCGUAUUAGCUUGUUGGUAAGGUAACGGCCUACCAAGGCAAUGAUACGUAGCCGACCUGGGAGGGUAAUCGGCCACAUUGGGACUGAGACACGGCCCAAACUCCUACGGGAGGCAGCAGUAGGGAAUCUUCCACAAUGGACGAAAGUCUGAUGGAGCAACGCCGCGUGAGUGAUGAAGGGUUUCGGCUCGUAAAACUCUGUUGUUGGAGAAGAACAGGUGUGAGAGUAACUGUUCACAUCUUGACGGUAUCCAACCAGAAAGCCACGGCUAACUACGUGCCAGCAGCCACGGUAAUACGUAGGUGGCAAGCGUUGUCCGGAUUUAUUGGGCGUAAAGCGAGCGCAGGCGGUUUCUUAGGUCUGAUGUGAAAGCCUUCGGCUUAACCGGAGAAGUGCAUCGGAAACCAGGAGACUUGAGUGCAGAAGAGGACAGUGGAACUCUAUGUGUAGCGGUGAAAUGCGUAGAUAUAUGGAAGAACACCAGUGGCGAAGGCGGCUGUCUGGUCUGUAACUGACGCUGAGGCUCGAAAGCAUGGGUAGCGAACAGGAUUAGAUACCCUGGUAGUCCAUGCCGUAAACGAUGAGUGCUAAGUGUUGGAGGGUUUCCGCCCUUCAGUGCUGCAGCUAACGCAUUAAGCACUCCGCCU